CCUACGGGAGGCAGCAGUGGGGGAUAUUGGACAAUGGGGGGAACCCUGAUCCAGCGACGCCGCGUGAGUGAAGAAGUAUUUCGGUAUGUAAAGCUCCGUCAGCAGGGAAGAAAGAAAUGACGGUACCUGACCAAGAAGCCCCGGCUAACUACGUGCCAGCAGCCGCGGUAAUACGGAGGGGGCAAGCGUUAUCCGGAAUUACUGGGUGUAAAGGGAGCGUAGACGGUUAAGUAAGUCAGGAGUGAAAGGCCGGGGCCCAACCCCGGGACUGCUCUGGAAACUAUUGAACUUGAGUGCAGGAGAGGUAAGCGGAAUGCCUAGUGUAGCGGUGAAAUGCGUAGAUAUUAGGAGGAACACCAGUGGCGAAGGCAGCUUACUAAACUGUAACUGACGUUGAGGCUCGAAAGCGUGGGGAGCAAACAGGAUUAGAUACCCGAGUAGUC
rnacentral:rRNA from 1 species